UGUCAAGUCCACGUUGCUGGAGAAGGA
rnacentral:piRNA from 1 species